AACAAUUAAAUUUAUCAGAUGGUGAUAAGUCUGUAAGAUAAAAACAAAGCAGAAAAGACAAUAGAAUUGGCAGAUGGAUAUGAUGGUCUAGGGCCUCCACAGGGAAGGUGGCAGUUAAGGCCUUUGGUGUAUGCUUGAUGUACGUGAACACCAGCAAGAGGCCAGUGUGGCUGGAGCAGAAUGGGCAGUGAGUAGAGGAGUAGGGGUUGAAGUGAGAAAGGAAAUGAUUCCAUAGUUCCCAGCCCCAGGCUUCUCAACUCUGCAGUGACUGGAGGUGUGGA
rnacentral:lncRNA from 1 species